AUCUCGGAAGUCAAGCAAUCUCGGGCUUGGUUAGUACUGGGAUGGGUGACCGCUUGGGAAUACCAAGUGUGAUAAGCA
rnacentral:rRNA from 1 species